AUUGAACGCUGGCGGCAGGCUUAACACAUGCAAGUCGAGCGGGGGAAGGUAGCUUGCUACCGGACCUAGCGGCGGACGGGUGAGUAAUGCUUAGGAAUCUGCCUAUUAGUGGGGGACAACAUCUCGAAAGGGAUGCUAAUACCGCAUACGUCCUACGGGAGAAAGCAGGGGAUCUUCGGACCUUGCGCUAAUAGAUGAGCCUAAGUCGGAUUAGCUAGUUGGUGGGGUAAAGGCCUACCAGGGCGACGAUCUGUAGCGGGUCUGAGAGGAUGAUCCGCCACACUGGGACUGAGACACGGCCCAGACGCCUACGGGAGGCAGCAGUGGGGAAUAUUGGACAAUGGGGGGAACCCUGAUCCAGCCAUGCCGCGUGUGUGAAGAAGGCCUUAUGGUUGUAAAGCACUUUAAGCGAGGAGGAGGCUACUUUAGUUAAUACCUAGAGAUAGUGGACGUUACUCGCAGAAUAAGCACCGGCUAACUCUGUGCCAGCCGCCGCGGUAA
rnacentral:rRNA from 1 species